UACGCAGGUGGCGAGCGUUGUCCGGAUUUACUGGGCGUAAAGAGCGCGCAGGCGGUCGUUCAAGUCGCGUGUGAAAGCCCCCGGCUCAACUGGGGAGGGUCACGCGAUACUGAUCGACUCGAAGGCAGGAGAGGGUAGUGGAAUUCCCGGUGUAGUGGUGAAAUGCGUAGAUAUCGGGAGGAACACCAGUGGCGAAGGCGACUGCCUGGCCUGUUCUUGACGCUGAGGCGCGAAAGCUAGGGGAGCAAACGGG
rnacentral:rRNA from 1 species